GCGAACGCUGGCGGCAGGCCUAACACAUGCACGUCGAACGAACUCUUCGGAGUUAAUGGCGGACGGGUGAGUAACACGUGGGAACGUGCCUUUAGGUUCGGAAUAACUCAGGGAAACUUGUGCUAAUACCGAAUGUGCCCUUCGGGGGAAAGAUUUAUCGCCUUUAGAGCGGCCCGCGUCUGAUUAGCUAGUUGGUGAGGUAAAGGCUCACCAAGGCGACGAUCAGUAGCUGGUCUGAGAGGAUGAUCAGCCACAUUGGGACUGAGACACGGCCCAAACUCCUACGGGAGGCAGCAGUGGGGAAUCUUGCGCAAUGGGCGAAAGCCUGACGCAGCCAUGCCGCGUGAAUGAUGAAGGUCUUAGGAUUGUAAAAUUCUUUCACCGGGGACGAUAAUGACGGUACCCGGAGAAGAAGCCCCGGCUAACUUCGUG
rnacentral:rRNA from 1 species